CUGGCAUUUCCCUAAGACUAGUAGCCAUCUGGCCCAUGGCUGAAGCCUUUCCUGGAUGGCAGAACCCAUCAGGACUUGGAUUGGCUGUCAUGGCCUUUGGGAAGCCAAGGGAUAUACUGGAACCAGCUCAUGGCUCUCGAGAGCUGAUGCUAAAUUUUCAGCGUGAGUUAUAAUCGCUUCCCCUUUGAAACUGACAAAUGCUACCAAUUAGUGUUUGAUUUAUGAUUUUGUUGAUUGCCUGGACUCAAGAAAGUGAUAGAGAAAUCGCUAAUAAUACAGAUCAACCCCCAAAGUGAGUGUUGAUGUUUCAAAUACCUUCUAAGAAAUACUCCUCAAAGAUGAAACACCUGAACUCUAUAUUAUCUGCAUGGCAUUGCAUAAGUUAACUGAUCUGUUGGAGCCCAUUUCCUCAUCUAUAACAUGGAAAGGGAGACACCCCCUCAACUCAGAUUUACAUCCAUCUCCAACCAUCUGGAUCUAUCACACUGGGUGCCUGCAGCGGUUUUCAAGGCUUGUUUUGUUUAUAUUUCUGUUCUUUACCCUGCUGUGAACCAUUUUUCCUUGCACUUUUCAAAUCCAGCCAAUGGCAAAAAAAUGAAAAAAUAAAGACCCAAGGGUUGAAAUCUGACCAAACAGCUUUAAUCAAUAGAGGCUUUCAGAAGAAGACAAUAAUGUAAAUCAUGCUGUUUA